ACUUCAGUUGGCUUUUCUUCAGACUUGUGUAUAUCAUCAUAGCCUCUGCUGAUGCUCUCCUCAGAUCUAACUUCUAUACCUUGCUCUGUAGGACUUGAUAUCGAAUCAGAAGUGGUUUUCGUGAGGUCAUCUGCUUGUGAUUCGCUUAGUGUUUCUUUCUCCUUGUUUGCAUCUUCUUCCAAUGUCUUUUCUUCUGUCACCAAAAUCUUUGGAAACUCUUCCUCUAUGAAUUCUAGAUUCCGAUCCUUGUUGCUUAUGUUGCUGUGGUCAACCUGUGUCUUAUCUGUUUCUAGUACUAGUUCUUUUGUUUGGUCUUCAACAGUUGAAGAUGCAAGUUCUUCAAGUGGUACAAUGGACACAAGUUUCUGUUACAUGAAAAAAACCACAAAAAUCUACAUGAUCAGUAGGUGAAGGUUAAAUUUCCAUUUGCAUGUAAUAAUCUAAAUGCCAUUUAUAAUGAUAAAACUACAUGAAAUCAGGCUAUGUUAACAAUGUCUUAUUAGCAUAGGAUCAGUAUAGGGAGGCUUUAACCAUGGGAUAAUCACAGUAAUAUUUUGUCAAGGGCUCAUGGCCUAGUUUCUUUCAAGCUGGUUGUCAUCCAGUGGUCUCAAAUCGAAUUAAUAGAAGACAAAGUUAGGGUUAUUUUUUUAUCAUCAGGGCUUAAUCUUUUUACCUUCUCACUUAAUGACCCAUCCACAGGUGUUUGACACGUGUCAUUUGUUACUUCUGGAUGUUCUUCCUCCAUCUCCAUCUUGAGAGUUGUUUCAGGAGUUUGUAUUUCAGAUAUAAGUUCAUCAUCCUUUUCUUUCUUCUCAAACUCAAGAUCAGGGGCUUCUGCAGACUGUAUAUUUUCUAGUUCUGUUGGGCUUUCUGCUUUCACUUCUUUGACUUCAUUGUUUCCAGCUGGUAUCGGCUUUGAAUAUUCUAUCUGUUAAAAGAUAUUUAUCAUUUUAAUAUCUGAAUAAAUGAAAUCAAUCUGAUAUUUUAGUAUCCUUCUUGCUGUCUUUACUGACCUCAUCAUCUAG
rnacentral:lncRNA from 1 species